rnacentral:rRNA from 1 species
GUUAGCGGGGACGGGUGAGUAACACGUGGGUAACCUGCCUGUAAGACUGGGAUAACUCCGGGAAACCGGAGCUAAUACCGGAUAGUUCCUUGAACCGCAUGGUUCAAGGAUGAAAGACGGUUUCGGCUGUCACUUACAGAUGGACCCGCGGCGCAUUAGCUAGUUGGUGGGGUAAUGGCUCACCAAGGCGACGAUGCGUAGCCGACCUGAGAGGGUGAUCGGCCACACUGGGACUGAGACACGGCCCAGACUCCUACGGGAGGCAGCAGUAGGGAAUCUUCCGCAAUGGACGAAAGUCUGACGGAGCAACGCCGCGUGAGUGAUGAAGGUUUUCGGAUCGUAAAGCUCUGUUGUUAGGGAAGAACAAGUGCGAGAGUAACUGCUCGCACCUUGACGGGUACCUAACCCAGAAAGCCACGGCUAACUACGUGCCAGCAAGCCGCGGUAAAUACCGUUAGGUG